CAUUUCUUCGUUUCUUCUUUGCUGUUUUCAGUGAGUGUUUUGUUUUCUCUUUGUCCUUGAUCUCGACGAUGUUGUCGUGCUCAUUACCUUACUGAGACGUCUCUUGUGACUGUAGCCAGUGUCACGGAAGAUUUUAUUGGCGUGACAAGGUAGAUCGCCGAGAUCGAGCGUGAAAAACGCUCUGCAUUAGUAGCUCCUGUAGAAUGUUUUCUGGGAUGGCGUAUCCAUGGUCAACAAAACCAAGGUGCAAGACAGCAUGAGAGAUCGUGUAAACGAUGUGAACUCCAAAAGAUAAUCUGGCCAAAUUUAUUGUAACUAGAGAGUGCAAUCGUGCUUGGGGCCCAUCCCAAUGUCAUCACAUGGCUGUGGUGACUAGUGUAUAUCUGGGAGAAUUUUUCCUCGACUGAUACGGAGUGCAGGUGGAUCGAUUAUGAGAAAUGCGAACAUGUGAAGUUCAAGGCUAGAUGCACUUCAAAUUCGGCGUGCGAUCUCAGCGUCUGGGACCUGAUGAAGUCUUGGUUGGAUGAUUAUUCAAGCCUGACACUACUCGACACACCAAUGUACAUGUCAAUGUAUUUUUUUCAGAGCUGCACUAUUUACGUGUUGAUGCUUACUUCGGUGUUAGCGUGUUUCCCCCGGAUUGUUUCUAUCAUCAUGACCGUGUGUUAUUGGGCUGAGCGAGCACAUGCACAAGUGUGCAGCUAUAACCCUGUGUAUCUUUGGUUACACUUUGUUCUGCAAUGCAUGUACCUUGUAACGUUAUGUGCUUGCACUGAUUUGUCUGGCCUGCGUAUUUCAAGACUAUUCAGUGCAUUAGACCCAGGUUUGUUUGGUUGCCGGAUGAUCUCUUGUUGCGUCGCUCUGUAUUUGUAUUCAUCAAUUUUUGGGCUUGAUAAUUGA